rnacentral:rRNA from 1 species
GGAAUAUUGGACAAUGGGGGCAACACUGAUCCAGCAAUGCCGCGUGUGUGAAGAAGGCCUGCGGGUUGUAAAGCACUUUCAGUAGAGAAGAAAAGCCUAAGGUUAAUAACCUUGAGUCUGGACGGAACCUACAGAAGAAGCACCGGCUACCUCCGUGACAGCAGCCGAGGUAAUACGGAGUGUGCAAGCGUUAAUCGGAAUUACUGGGCGUAAAGCGCGCGUAGGUGGUUUUGUAAGUCGGAUGUGAAAGCCCUGGGCUCAACCUGGGAAUUGCAUUCGAUACUGCUUAACUAGAGUAUGGUAGAGGGAAGUGGAAUUUCCGGUGUAGCGGUGAAAUGCGUAGAUAUCGGAAGGAACACCAGUGGCGAAGGCGACUUCCUGGGCCAAUACUGACACUGAGGUGCGAAAGCGUGGGUAGCAAAC